rnacentral:rRNA from 1 species
AGCGAACGCUGGCGGCAGGCCUAACACAUGCCAGUCGAACGAACUCUUCGGAGUUAGUGGCGGACGGGUGAGUAACACGUGGGAACGUGCCUUUUGGUUCGGAAUAACUCAGGGAAACUUGUGCUAAUACCGAAUGUGCCCUUCGGGGGAAAGAUUUAUCGCCAUUAGAGCGGCCCGCGUCUGAUUAGCUAGUUGGUGAGGUAACGGCUCACCAAGGCGACGAUCAGUAGCUGGUCUGAGAGGAUGACCAGCCACACUGGGACUGAGACACGGCCCAGACUCCUACGGGAGGCAGCAGUGGGGAAUCUUGCGCAAUGGGCGAAAGCCUGACGCAGCCAUGCCGCGUGAAUGAGGAAGGUCUUAGGAUUGUAAAAUUCUUUCACCGGGGACGAUAAUGACGGUACCCGGAGAAGAAGCCCCGGCUAACUUCGUG